AACGAACGCUGGCGGCGUGGAUAAGACAUGCAAGUCGAACGAGAGAAUUGCUAGCUUGCUAAUAAUUCUCUAGUGGCGCACGGGUGAGUAACACGUGAGUAACCUGCCCCCGAGAGCGGGAUAGCCCUGGGAAACUGGGAUUAAUACCGCAUAGUAUCGAAAGAUUAAAGCAGCAAUGCGCUUGGGGAUGGGCUCGCGGCCUAUUAGUUAGUUGGUGAGGUAACGGCUCACCAAGGCGAUGACGGGUAGCCGGUCUGAGAGGAUGUCCGGCCACACUGGAACUGAGACACGGUCCAGACACCUACGGGUGGCAGCAGUCGAGAAUCAUUCACAAUGGGGGAAACCCUGAUGGUGCGACGCCGCGUGGGGGAAUGAAGGUCUUCGGAUUGUAAACCCCUGUCAUGUGGGAGCAAAUUAAAAAGAUAGUACCACAAGAGGAAGAGACGGCUAACUCUGUGCCAGCAGCCGCGGUAAUACAGAGGUCUCAAGCGUUGUUCGGAAUCACUGGGCGUAAAGCGUGCGUAG
rnacentral:rRNA from 1 species